rnacentral:sRNA from 1 species
CCCUGCACCGCGAUGCAGCGGUAUUCUGAGUCGAAUGAACUAGUCGCUACGGGA